GUGGCGUAACCCUACCAUUGCGGUGCAGGAGGAAAGUCCGGGCAACACAGAGCAUUCUGCUUCUUAACGGGAAGCCGCUCGCAAGGGUGGAUUAGUGUAGAAGAAAAUAACCGCCACUUAUUUUUUAGUGGUAAGGGUGAGAAGGUGGAGUAAGAGCCCACCAGUUGCGUGGCGACACGUAGGCUGUACACAUCAGAAGUUGAAAGUUCAUGUAUACCAACGUUCGAGAGCUGCUCGUUCGAGUUCUUAAUAUAUUUCAUAUUAAGGCGCGUUGGAGGGUAGAACGAUAGAGCACCUUGGCAACAAUGUGCGCGGAUAAAUGACAGGCGCGUUGCACGCUCUUUUUCAUGGUAAGGAGUGUGUUGAGCACAGAACCCGGCUUAUAGACUGACUGA
rnacentral:RNase_P_RNA from 1 species